rnacentral:rRNA from 1 species
AACGAACGCUGGCGGCAUGCCUAACACAUGCAAGUCGAACGAGACCUUCGGGUCUAGUGGCGCACGGGUGCGUAACGCGUGGGAACCUGCCCUUAGGUUCGGAAUAACUCCCCGAAAGGGGUGCUAAUACCGGAUAAUGUCUUCGGACCAAAGAUUUAUCGCCUUUGGAUGGGCCCGCGUUGGAUUAGCUAGUUGGUAGGGUAAAAGCCUACCAAGGGGACGAUCCAUAGCUGGUCUGAGAGGAUGAUCAGCCACACUGGGACUGAGACGCGGCCCAGACUCCUACGGGAGGCAGCAGUGGGGAAUAUUGGACAAUGGGCGAAGGGCUGAUCCAGCAAUGCCGCGUAAGUGAUGAAGGCCUUAGAGUUGUAAAGCUCUUUUAACCGGGAUGAUAAUGACAGUACCGGGAGAAUAAGCCCCGGCUAACUCCGUG